AAUCAACGCUGGCGGCGUGCCUCAGACAUGCAAGUCGAACGAUUAAAGCUCUCUUCGGAGAGUGUAUAGAGUGGCGCACGGGUGAGUAACACGUAAGUAAUCUACCUUUGAGUGGGGAAUAACGUCCGGAACGGACGCUAAUACCGCAUAAUGCAGCGGCAUCGCAAGAUGACAGUUGUUAAAGAUUUAUCGCUUGAAGAGGAGCUUGCGGCAGAUUAGCUAGUUGGUAAGGUAAUGGCUUACCAAGGCUACGAUCUGUAACCGGUCUAAGAGGACGGUCGGUCACACUGACACUGAAUAACGGGUCAGACUCCUACGGGAGGCAGCAGUCGGGAAUUUUGGCAAUGGGCGAAAGCCUGACCCACGCAACGCCGCGUGAAGGAUGAAGUAUUUCGGUAUGUAAACUUCGAAAGAAUGGGAAGAAUAAAUGACGGUACCAUUUAUAAGGUCC
rnacentral:rRNA from 1 species